rnacentral:rRNA from 1 species
UACAGAGGGUGCAAGCGUUAAUCGGAAUUACUGGGCGUAAAGCGUGCGUAGACGGUUAUUUAAGUCAGGUGUGAAAGCCCCAGGCUCAACCUGGGAAUUGCAUUUGAGACUGAAUAGCUAGGGUGCGGAAGAGGGAAGCGGAAUUUCCGGUGUAGCGGUGAAAUGCGUAGAUAUCGGAAGGAACACCAGUGGCGAAAGCGGCUUCCUGGUCCAGCACCGACGUUCAGGCACGAAAGCGUGGGGAGCAAACAGG